AAGCUGAUCGGGAAGGGGUAUGGCCUAAGUUAGUGGCCUCCAUUGCACUUGGGAGUUUCAUCGGCCUACCAUCUCCCUAAAUGGGAGAGUGGACGUCAUAAUUUGUGAUAGAAGGUACACAUUCGUGCGGCCUUUAU
rnacentral:snRNA from 15 species